CAGCCGCCGCGGUAAUACGUAGGUGGCAAGCGUUGUCCGGAAUUAUUGGGCGUAAAGGGCUCGCAGGCGGUUUCUUAAGUCUGAUGUGAAAGCCCCCGGCUCAACCGGGGAGGGUCAUUGGAAACUGGGAAACUUGAGUGCAGAAGGGGAGAGUGGAAUUCCACGUGUAGCGGUGAAAUGCGUAGAGAUGUGGAGGAACACCAGUGGCGAAGGCGACUCUCUGGUCUGUAACUGACGUUCAUACACGAAAGCGUGGGGAGCAAACAGGAUUAGAUACCCCCGUAGUCCCUGUCUCUUAUAC
rnacentral:rRNA from 1 species